AAGUCGUAACAAGGUUUCCGUAGGUGAACCUGCGGAAGGAUCAUUACCAAAUCCAAAAAUACCCAACCCCAUGUUUUUGUCCUUCGGGGGAAGACAGAAGCUGCUAUUAAAAGACAGAGAAAAGGGUUUUUUAAAAAUUCUUCCUCUCCUUUUUUAGCGCUUAAUCUUCCCCCAAAAGAAUCCAUUAAAACAUUUCGGUGUUUUCUUGUGAUUCUUUGAUAAACCACAGAAUUCAUUGUUUUGGAAUACAUUUUAAAAUUUUUAAAAUUUUAAAGACAACUUUUAACGGUGGAUCUCUUGGCUCGUG
rnacentral:misc_RNA from 1 species